AGCAGCAGUGGGAGUAUUGCACAGUGGGCGAAAGCCUGAUGCAGCGACGCCGCGUGAGGGAUGACGGCCUUCGGGUUGUAAACCUCUUUCAGCAGGGACGAAGCGAGAGUGACGGUACCUGCAGAAGAAGCACCGGCCAACUACGUGCCAGCAGCCGCGGUAAUACGUAGGGUGCGAGCGUUGUCCGGAAUUACUGGGCGUAAAGAGCUCGUAGGCGGUUUGUCGCGUCGUCCGUGAAAACUUGGGGCUCAACCCCAAGCUUGCGGGCGAUACGGGCAGACUUGAGUACUGCAGGGGAGACUGGAAUUCCUGGUGUAGCGGUGAAAUGCGCAGAUAUCAGGAGGAACACCGGUGGCGAAGGCGGGUCUCUGGGCAGUAACUGACGCUGAGGAGCGAAAGCGUGGGUAGCGAACAGGAUUAGAUACCCUGGUAGUCCACGCCGUAAACGGUGGGCGCUAGGUGUGGGUUUCCUUCCACGGGAUCCGUGCCGUAGCUAACGCAUUAAGCGCCCCGCCUGGGGAGUACGGCCGCAAGGCUAAACUCA
rnacentral:rRNA from 1 species